rnacentral:rRNA from 1 species
UAGAGUUUGAUCAUGGCUCAGGAUGAACGCUAGCGACAGGCUUAACACAUGCAAGUCGAGGGGCAGCGGGGGCUGAGCUUGCUCAGCCCGCCGGCGACCGGCGCACGGGUGAGUAACACGUAUGCAACCUGCCCCGCGGAGGGGGACAAGCGGGGGAAACCCCGUCUAAUACCGCAUAGUCCGCGGCCCCGGCAUCGGGGUCGCGGGAAAGGAGCGAUCCGCCGCGGGAUGGGCAUGCGGCGCAUUAGCUAGUCGGCGGGGUGACGGCCCACCGAGGCGACGAUGCGUAGGGGUUCUGAGAGGAAGGCCCCCCACACUGGUACUGAGACACGGACCAGACUCCUACGGGAGGCAGCAGUGAGGAAUAUUGGUCAAUGGGCGGUAGCCUGAACCAGCCAAGUCGCGUGCGGGACGAAGGCCCUACGGGUCGUAAACCGCUAUCGCCGGGGAGCAAGGGGCGCCACGCGUGGCGUUGUGAGAGUACCCGGAGAAGAAGCAUCGGCUAACUCCGUGCCAGCAGCCGCGGUAAUACGGAGGAUGCGAGCGUUAUCCGGAUUCAUUGGGUUUAAAGGGUGCGUAGGCGGAGGGCCAAGUCGGCGGUAAAAUUGCGGGGCUCAACCCCGUCCGGCCGUCGAAACUGGCCCCCUUGAGUUGUCGAGAGGUAGGCGGAAUGCGCGGUGUAGCGGUGAAAUGCAUAGAUAUCGCGCAGAACCCCGAUUGCGAAGGCAGCCUACCGGCGGCAAACUGACGCUGAGGCACGAAAGCGCGGGUAUCGAACAGGAUUAGAUACCCUGGUAGUCCGCGGGGUAAACGAUGAGCGCUAGGUAUCCGGGGCGAGCGAGCCCUGGGCGCCACAGCGAAAGCGUUAAGCGCUCCACCUGGGGGAGUACGCCGGCAACGGUGAAACUCAAAGGAAUUGACGGGGGCCCGCACAAGCGGAGGAACAUGUGGUUUAAUUCGAUGAUACGCGAGGAACCUUACCCGGGCUCAAACGCCAUAGGACAUGCCGUGAAAGCGGCACUCCCCUCGGGGCCUAUGGCGAGGUGCUGCAUGGUUGUCGUCAGCUCGUGCCGUGAGGUGUCGGCUUAAGUGCCAUAACGAGCGCAACCCCCACCGCCAGUUGCCAGCAGGUCAAGCUGGGGACUCUGGCGGGACUGCCGGCGCAAGCCGCAAGGAAGGCGGGGAUGACGUCAAAUCAGCACGGCCCUUACGUCCGGGGCCACACACGUGUUACAAUGGCCGGUACAGCGGGGCGCCACCUGGCGACAGGGAGCCGAACCCGAAAGCCGGUCCCAGUUCGGAUCGGAGUCUGCAACCCGACUCCGUGAAGCUGGAUUCGCUAGUAAUCGCGCAUCAGCCACGGCGCGGUGAAUACGUUCCCGGGCCUUGUACACACCGCCCGUCAAGCCAUGGGAGCCGGGGGUGCCUGAAGGCCGUGACCGCCGAGGAGCGGCCUAGGGUAAAACCGGUGACUGGGGCUAAGUCGUAACAAGGUAACC